GUUUGACUCUUCGUCUUAUUUAAAAAAUUUCAAUGAUCAGUGUUUUUAUUGUUAUUAUACGAUAAAGCAUGAAUAAUAUUUUAUACGUGACUAAAUUUUUUGGAUUUUUUCAUAAGUUUUUCAAAUAAGAUGGACGAUCAAAC
rnacentral:pre_miRNA from 1 species